rnacentral:lncRNA from 1 species
ACCCAAUCCACCCUCCACAGUCCAAAAUGCACUGUAGAGCAGAAGGAGACAACCUAACCCCACGUUGGAUGAAAGCAAUAUAUACAUACGCAUAUAUCAAUUAUCAUAUAUGUAGAGAGAGGGUGAGAGCAACGAAUCAAGGCGAAUAAUAAGCUGUUUCUUGGGAUACUGAGCGGCGUUUUGUUCACUCCCUCCCCUUUGAAAUGUUUACGUACUCUCUUUACAUUUUUGCUUAAUGGAAGCUGGUAUUCCGGCGCCAAUGUAACCGUCACAGCUUUCAAUUAGCCUUUCAAUUGAAUUUAUAUGCUGGGUUUUUCCAUUUGUAGUAUUUAAUGCUUUUAAUACUGUGUAAUGAGGAGUAUUCAGUUCGUACAUAAAGGAGUGUAAGAAGGUGUAUUAUAUUGUGUUUAUAUUAGCCAUUAUCAAUUAUAAACUUUGAUUGUGGAUUUAAAGAUCAGUUUCUUUAUCAAAACAAGAGGAGCUUUAAUCAUGGCAAGGUCAUUUUCUCAGCCGAAAAGCAGUUCUCCAUCUGAAGGUUAAACAUUUAAAUUGAUCAUCGUUAUUUUUUUUUAUUUGGUUAUCCCAAAAGUGUUUUUGUUCGUGUUUGGGAAAUGAAUUUUGGGUUUUUUCUUCUUCAUUUGAAAUUUCAGGGAAUAGGGUUGAGGAUGUUUUGUAUCCAGAGCUAUGGAAGGCUUGUGCAGGUCCGUUGGUGGAUAUUCCAAAAAUGAGAGAAAGAGUUUACUAUUUCCCACAAGGUCACAUGGAACAAGUCAGUAUAUUAUUACUUCUAAAUUUUCUUCUGUGGGUGCCUGAAAGUUCAGAUCUUUGUAUGGAAUAAUGGAUAUUUAGUCAUGAAAUUAAAAUAAACUUGAGUUUCUGUAUGUGGGAAUUUAUGGGAUUUAAUUUGGAGUUGAAACUUGUGCUUUUUUUGGGGUUUGUUUAGUUGGAAGCAUCAACAAAUCAGGAGUUAAGUCAGAGGACAACAAUGUUCAACCUUCCCUCAAAGAUCCUUUGCCGUGUUAUGAACAUUCAGCUACUGGUAUGGUCCUAUCAAUCCUGCUCUUAAUUAUUCUUUUGUUAAUUGUGAUGUGAAAUCUUGCGGAGAAAAUUUGUAAGUCCUCUUUUUAUGCUAAAGGUUAAAAAGAUCCCGGGUAAAAAUGUUAAAUUGGUCCUCUUUUGGGUUCGGGGUGAGGAAGAAAAUUGCAGCAGAUCGACUUUGUAAGAAAAAUCGUGGGUUGGUUAGGGGUGAGAAAGUAGUAUGUGUAUAUUGAAACAUUGGCGCAAAAAAGGGCAGUCUAGUGAGAUUUUGGCGAGAAAAUUUCACCUUCUCUACGCAACUUGUCUUUCCCAGACGAAAACCUCGAUUUAGUUUAGUUUAGUUUAGUUCAUAAACACUUGCUGUAAAAACUGCAGAAAAUUUUGUUUUUAUGCUUUAGCAACCAAAAUUAUUGCAAUGGUAAAUUUAGUUGUAGAAUGGUUAACAAAUCAUGAUGCGGUGUUUUGUAGGCUGAACGAGAAACCGAUGAGGUUUAUGCACAAAUUACUCUGAUGCCAGAAUUAGAUGUAAGGAAAACGUCUCGCUUUUUUUUUUUAUUGGAAAAAUUGUUAUAUUUGCUUGCUCUCAUAAUUUUUAGGGAUCAAGCUUGCAAUUUAUUAGUAGGCAAUCUAUGAUAGUUUGAGUUACGUUUGGAUGAAACAAUUUGUAGCAAACUGAGCCAAAAAGUCUAGAUCGAUGUGCUCUGGAUCCUCCUAGGCCUACUGUUCACUCAUUCUGCAAGGUUUUGACGGCUUCCGACACAAGUACUCAUGGUGGAUUUUCUGUCCUUCGUAGGCAUGCAAAUGAAUGCCUUCCACCCUUGGUAAUAAUUCCUCUCUCGGGAGGUUCAUUAAUUUUUUUUUUUUUUGGUUUGUACUGCUGGUUGGCAUUGAAUUUGUUAACUGAUUUUUAGUUUAUUUUGACUAUGAAUGUUCUUGGGUUAGGAUAUGACCCAGCAGACACCGACCCAGGAACUCGUGGCCAAGGAUCUGCAUGGGAUUAAAUGGCAGUUUAAGCAUAUAUAUAGAGGUGAUGCUUUAUUUCUUCCUUCCUAAUGAGCUCCUUUGAUAUAGCUAGACUAAGGGAUCUGAGAUUGGCUGGCUAAGCUUAAAAGGGCGAUAGUUACUUUAAUAUUUCCAAACAUCUUCAGAUAACCUUUUUCUACGUUCAAGUAAAAAAAAAAAAAUUACUUAUGUUGAAAGUAACAUUUACGUUACUAUCUAAAAUAUUAAGUUAUUUUCAACUUUGACCAAUAAACAAACGUUUUAAUCCUUUAACUUAUUUGCUUGUAACUAACAAUUUAAGCUUACACAAACAUGCUUUCUCAUUACAAACGUAUUACUUGACCAUAAAUGCCAUUAUGCCAAUACUGAUCAAAUAAAUGGGCAUCUAUUGAGUUGAGUAUGUUGAUAUCAAAUACUCCAUUUUCAUGGAUGGUAAUUCAUGUUUAUAUCUUCCAAACUGAACAGGCAAACCUAGCAGGCACUUGCUUACAACGGGAUGGAGUAAUUUCGUCACUUCUAAGAAAUUAGUCGCUGGAGAUUCUUUUGUAUUUUUGAGGUACUUGUCGAACUUACACACUCUUCAGUGAUUAUAAGUUGUAUCUGUCAAUGAAGCCUCGGUUUUCCUUUUUCUUAUGUGUUGUUAUCGUCUUAUUGGAACUCUUAUUCUAGGGGAGAGAAUGGGGAGUUACAUGUUGGAGUUAGACAUCAUGUUUGUCAACAGAGCUCCUUGCCAUCGUCAGUGAUUUCAAGUCAGAGCAUGCACCUCGGAGUGCUUGCAACUGCAUCCCAUGCUGUAGCAAGCAAGACCCUCUUUGUUGUUUAUUACAAACCGAGGUUUGAUAUUCACUCUUUGUACACUGGGAAUGAUGUCCGUAUAUGAGAAUUACUUUUUAAAUAACGUGCAUAGCUGUGUGUUAAACUUUCAGAACAAGUCAAUUCAUCAUAGGCCUGAACAAAUAUCUUGAAGCUCUAAACCAUGGUUUUGGAGUUGGCAUGAGAUUCAAGAUGCAGUUUGAGGUCGAGGAUUCUCCAGAGAAGAGGUUGCCACUUGCCAUGUAUUCAAAAGUAAAUCUCAUUGCUAUUGUCAUGGAAUUGAUCUAAUUUGUCCCUUUUUUUCCCACAUUAUCAGGUUCUCAGGUACAAUAACAGGAGUCGAAGAUAUUUCUCCUCACUGGGAAGAUUCUAAAUGGCGAUCACUGAAGGUUAGUGUAUUUCUUGAUGUUCUUUUGAUUAAAUUAGCAUAUGGAAUUACUCAAACUCUAUGCUGUUCUCGUGUUUUCAGGUUCAGUGGGACGAACCUGCAUCCAUUCCAAGACCUGAAAGGGUUUCUCCAUGGGAGAUAGAACCAUUUGUGGCUUCAGUUCCCACAAGCCUGGUUCAACCAUCGGCAGCAAAAAAUAAAAGGCCAAGAUUGCAUGUUGAAACCCCAGUUCCUGGUUCAACAUUCUUGCAUACCCUUUUUUCCCAAACUUUCUAGCAUUUUUAUGUAUUAGGACUUCAUUUAAUUUUGUUGCUAUUUCCUAUGUGGUAGAUACUCCAAGUUCAACAGCAUCAGCUGUGUGGAAUCCGUCCCGCGAAUCACAUCAAGUAAUGGGCUCUCUUGAAGAACAAAGGAGUGAACAAGUUGACACUGGUGGCACUCUCAUCAGAAACAGAAACGGCAACACUUCUGGAACUCUUUUAGAGGGAGACUGGCUAUCUCCUGAUGUGAAUUCGUCUCUUAAUAUGUUUUCUGAAGAAACAGAAGAGAGCAAAAGUGCAUCGGCUUGGUCUAUUUUUUCAAACUGUUCAGCCCCAAAUUCUGGAAAACGGAGUAAUAGUCGCAUUUCUUGCCUGAAUGAUGGGAGGAAAUUAGAUGCGUCUGCAACUUGCAGAUUAUUUGGUAUUGAUUUGAACAGCCCUUUGACGGGUGCUGCCCUUCUCGAGAAAUCCUCUCUAAAAUCAGUUGAUAAACUAAAUGAUGCUUCUGAAGGAUGCGUCUCAAAUCAACGGCAGCAGUUACAAGUACCAGUAAAGGAGGUUCCUAGCAGACAGAAUCACUCCACUAGAAGUCGCACCAAGGUAUAAUUUCACCUUCUACUUUUAACAACAAAGUAUUAUUGAUUGAGCGUUUACUGAAUUGAAAGAGUAAUUAAUAAUAACUAUUUGUUUCUUUGGUGUGAAAUACUUUGAGAAGGUUCAAAUGCAAGGUGUUGCUGUGGGUCGUGCUGUGGACCUAACUGCGUUAAAGGGAUACGAUGAGCUUAUAAGUGAAAUUGAAGAGAUGUUCGAAAUAAAGGGUGAGCUUCAGCUCCGACAUAAUUGGGAGAUUGUUUUCACUGAUGACGAAGGAGACAUGAUGCUUAUGCGCGAUUAUCCAUGGCUGUACGUAUUAUUUGUAUUUUUCAUCUAGACAUAUCAUCUACUUCAACGGUUAUAUGAUACUAUUAUUUUCUUGCAGAGAAUUCUGUGAUAAGGUGCAGAGGAUUUUCAUCUAUUCUAGCCAAGAUGUGAAAAAAAUGAGAGCAGGAAGCAAGCUUCCUCUAUCUUCGACAGACAACUGAAGGAGAUGCUUUAACUUGGAAGUUGGUGAAGAUUAAAAUUAAAUUAAUUUCACAUUUUCUUGUUCAUCCCUGCUUUUUCCUUUUAAUUUGUUUUUCAAUGGAAAAAGCUUCAGUUUUUCGCUGUUGUAGAGGUCUUGAGGAAUUUCUUGUUUGUUUCUCUGAUUCUGUGUCAUCAAGAUGGAUGGCUAUAGAUAUGGAUGUAGCAUCAGGCUAACAACCAAGAAAACUAGCUGUUUGCGACUAGAAAUUUUACGAGUAAUCGGGGGUGGGAUUAGGAUUAGAAUCUGUGUAUAUCAGAGGUGUUUCCGGUGGAUUUGGAUGUAAAUAUAAAUUUCUUGGCAUCUGGUUUAUAAAUUGCCAGGUUCUUUUGGAAAUGUGUACUUCAAUAAUCCAGGGCAUUUCAUUUUCUUCCUUGCAUGCAUAGUUAAAUUGAAUUCAAGGUUCUGGUUCAAUGGAUAUGUGGAUCAUAUUUCUGCCUCUACACAAAGCAAAAGUCCCGCCUAACAAGGCCUAAGUUAUAUAGAUACAUAAUACAA